rnacentral:tRNA from 1 species
GCCUCUCACUUAAGGCGCCUGACUUCGGAUCAGAAGAUUGCAGGUUCGAAUCCUGC